CACAAAUCAUGUUUGUUCUAUUUGAUUAUAAGCAUUACAGCCUACGAAUUCAGUUUAUAAGUUGUAAUGCAAAACAACUACAAGCUUGCAAACUAUAGGAUAAGUACUUCCACAUUAAUGACCUGGGCAGACUGCAAAGACCAGCAAAACAAAACCUUUAACCUCUGAGUUGAAGCUUUUGAGCAACUAGCAAAUGGAUGACUAGAAGACAAACAUUGACAACUUUAUUUAUUCAUAAUGAAUCAUUUAUCCAUUGUAUAUGGAUUUUAACUAAAUGAAUACAAUGAUACAAGCUGUUGCAUUAAUUUUUCUUUUUCAAAUGUUUGCUGCAGAAAAACUUGUGAACUAACUUGCCACUUGCCAGUUAUAUUUCAAGGAUAUGCGAAUCAAUUUGAGAUCACGUGUAACAAACGGGGACCUUUUGAACUAACUGUUUUAUCAGAAGAUUUUGCCUACUGUCUCAAAACUCUGUUUGAGCUUAAGAAGAAGUUCUCUUCACCUGCAAUGGUUGAGUGCAGUCUACCAGCAGCCCAACCAUUGUUCAUAGCACGAACAGCAGCAGAAGCUGGAUCACCAGUAACUCGACUUCCCUCCAUUUGUUUUUCAAAUUCUGGAAGACCACUUGCCUUUCUUUCUUUUCUUCUCUUCCUCUCCUCAUCUCUUUCUUUCCUCAGCCAGCUCUCUACUGUCCUCUGCAAGUCUAUGUCAUCAGUUCAUUGAUCAUUUGAAAAGAAUGUAAAAAGAGUGAGAUAAAACAAAUAUUCCAUGAUGUCUAGAAAAAUCAACAUGAAAUGCCAAAUUCAAGAAUUAGACAUUGAAACUAACCAUAAGUGAUAAAUUACUAAUCUCCUUGACUUUUGCCAUUGGCAUUGCUAACUGUAACUUCCCAUGAGCCACAUACACCUGGACAAAAUGAAAUGACUUGAGAAGGACAUGUAUUAUACAAGUGUAUUGAAGAGCCACUGAAAGGUAACAAGACAUACAAUAUGUGUUGGCCACUCCUCUAACCCAUCAAAUAUAUGUGUUGCGUAAAUUAUUGUGGCACCUCUUUCUUCACAUUCCUUUCUUAGAAACUUCAGAAGGUCAGCCCUUGCCAGCACAUCAAGGUCAACUGUUAUCUCAUCAAGAAGAAGAACCUAGAUAAACAGCGAGGUGAAUGAGACAUAUAACAACAAAGGAUACGAGGAAAAAGGAGCCUCAGCAUACAAAAAGCUCCAUAGGUUACUAAAAGCAAACAAGGUGGUAAAAUAAAUAGUGAAGUAACUUCUUAUAAAGGUUCAAAUAUGCAAUAGAAGGAGAUACCUUAAAUGGCCUAAGGAGACCCAUGCAAAUUUGCACUCUUCUUCUUUGACCAUCAGAAACCUUGUGCAUCCUCCACGACAGAUCAAUAUCUAAUACCUAUAGUACCAUGAAAGCAAGUUGCAUUCUCAUGACGUUGGAAGCCAAAUAAAAAUAACGUAAGAUUCUCCACAAUUGCUGAAUAAAAUGCAACUUAUGGAAUUACUUAACUUCUUUCAUCAUCUUAAAUCAUCUUAAAGUGUAAAAAUGAUCAAAUUAUUUUCUUACCAAUUUAAUGGAUUAUUAUUAUUGGAAUUGGGAUAAGACAUUCCUCAUGUUGAUUGAUGAGAUGAAAGUUGUUUCUUCUAUUAUAUUAAACUGAGGAUACAUAUGCUUUUCCAAGAAAAUGAAAGAAAGUAAAUAGGAACUAGGACUUGCAAACCAAAGCAAUAAAGAAUGCACAAAAUAAUAAAUUUUACGUAGGCCAAAAACCUGUCAGUAUCAAAGAAAGAACUCUGAAAACCAUUUUACGGAUGAGAUAGAGGCAAUUGGUCACCAUCUAGAUUUUACGCAAAACAAUAUCUUUUUUAAUAAUGAGAGGACUAGAAUGAACUGUUACCUUGAUCAGUUCAGCUCUUCUCUGAGGAUCAAUUCCUGCUACACCAAAUAUCAUUUUCUCUGCAGAAACAUCCAUUUGUAUGGGAACUUCAAACCCAGCAAAAGCAACAUCUCGCCUCCACUACAAAAGAGAAACUGGCAUAUAAUGGACAGGGGUAGGAGA
rnacentral:misc_RNA from 1 species